rnacentral:rRNA from 2 species
UACGAAGGGUGCAAGCGUUACUCGGAAUCACUGGGCGUAAAGCGUGCGUAGGCGGUUGAUUAAGUCUGCUGUGAAAGCCCUGGGCUCAACCUGGGAACUGCAGUGGAUACUGGUCAGCUAGAGUGUGAUAGAGGAUGGUGGAAUUCCCGGUGUAGCGGUGAAAUGCGUAGAGAUCGGGAGGAACACCAGUGGCGAAGGCGGCCAUCUGGAUCAACACUGACGCUGAGGCACGAAAGCGUGGGGAGCAAACAGG